rnacentral:lncRNA from 1 species
AUUAAAUGUUAGUUGUUAAUGAGUUAGAAGUUAGUAUUGCUUUUGCUUUUUUUGUUUUAAGUCAUUCUUUGGAUAACACUCAACCCACUUAUCACAAGCAUGGAUCCUUGAACCAAGACAUCUUCCAAAGGAAGGAAAAAAAGCCAAGUUUCCACACAAUACCAUGAAAGAGGGGAGACUUACAAUCUUACUAACAAGAAUGAUAUUCCUUUUGUGUCAAAAAUUUAGCGCUACGUUA